GUUAUCUAUAAAUAGCCAUUUGGUUUCUUUUACAAUCUUCAUAAAUCAAUUCCUUGAUCCCAAAGAAGAAAGAGACUAAGAGAGAAUAAAUAAAAAAAGAAUAAAAAAAGAGAAGAGAAAUGUCAGGUGGAUGCUCAGAUACUGCAGGUGAAGGGAUGAAGAGCUCAUGGCCUGAAUUGGUGGGGAGAAGAGGAGAAGAAGCAAAAGAGAUCAUCGAUAGAGAGAACACCAAAGUGACGGCUAGGAUUAUAUCUGAAAAUGCGGUUGUUUUGACCGUUGUAGUUUGCGAUAGGGUUUAUGUUCGUGUCAAUGACCACGGCAUUGUCACAAAAACCCCGGUCGUUGGGUAAUUUAUUGAUACAUAUUAACAUAUAUGUGUGUAAGAAUCAAUGUGGAACUUAAUAUGUGUAACGUAAGCCUUUUUUUUAAAAAAAAAAAGAAACUUAAUAUGUAAUAUAUGUGUGAAAUAUA